UCUUAAGUAACUGUCAACGAAUAGAGAGAGAGAGAGAGAGAGAGAGAGAGAGAGAGGUGGACGCCUGUUCAUUUUUCACCGAACCUCUCGAAGUCGAAUCUGGAUUUCCGUAAAGACCAAAAUCUGAAAAUCGACGUUGAAGCCCCAAUCCUCCGUCUCGGAACCCUCAGAUCGUUGCCUUGCCGAUUCCCAUAUUCCCAAUUGAAUUACUAGAUUUCUGCGCCGCGCAGUAAAAUUAGCAAUCAAGAUGAGUGAGGUGUUCGAAGGCUACGAGCGUCAGUACUGCGAGCUCUCCGCAAACCUCUCGCGAAAAUCCAACUCCGCCGCUCUUCUUUCCGACUAUGAGCAGAAGAAGCAGAAGUUUUCUGAAAUUAAAGUUGGAUUGGAUGAUGCCGAAGCUUUGAUUCGGAAAAUGGACCUCGAAGCCAGAAGCUUGCAGCCAAGCGUGAAGGCGGUGCUUCUUGCCAAGCUAAGGGAAUAUAAAUCUGAUCUCAAUAAGUUGAAAAGGGAAAUCAAGAGAGUUGCAUCGCCUGAUGCCACUCAGGCUGCUCGCGAUGAACUGCUGGAGGCAGGAGUGGCUGAUACACAUGCGGUUUCUUCUGAUCAAAGAGAGAGAAUGACAAUGUCUGUUGAGAGAUUAAAUGAAUCAAGUGAUAGAAUCACACAGAGUAGAAGAACAAUAUUGGAAACAGAAGAGCUUGGUGUCUCCAUUCUCCAAGAUUUGCACCAACAGCGGGAAACUCUCCUGCAUUCCCAUCAAAAACUUCAUACCGUAGAUGACGCCAUUGACAAGAGUAAAAGAGUUUUAACUGCCAUGUCACGGAGGAUGACGAAGCAUAAAUGGAUCAUGGGCUCAGUUAUCGGAGCUCUUAUCGUUGCAAUCCUCCUUAUUCUAUACUUUAAGGUUUCUCAUUAACGGAUACCUGAUACGGAUACCAUCUGUGUGGUACAGUAUUGGAGGCCAACCCUUGGAGAGGAAGUUCCAAGCCUGUGUAUGUAUUAACGCAAAGGGAAAACCAGUUGUGCACCAUGAAAACCCGAAGAAAUCGCAGUGAAGUUGAAACGGAGCUUGGGAAAUUGUUUUCGAAAGGAGGGAAAUGGAACCCAGC